GUUUGCACUUGUCGGGGAAGGGUGAGAACCUUCGAUUAAGGUUCGACUCGAGCGAAAGCGAGAGAACGUUGCCAACGGCAACG
rnacentral:sRNA from 3 species